AAUGCUUGAAACAACAGCUGCUGUACACCCUGGUGGUAGUGGUGGGGCUGUUGUUAAUUCAGAAGGACACAUGAUUGCCCUUGUAACAAGUAAUGCUAGACAUGGUGGAGGGACAGUCAUUCCACAUUUGAACUUCAGCAUUCCAUGUGCAGCUUUAAAGCCCAUCUUCAAGUUUGCUGAAGACAUGCAGGAUCUGUUACCCUUAGAAUAUCUUGACAAACCAAAUGAACAGCUUUCUUCAGUGUGGGCAUUAACUCCACCUUUAUCUUCUAAGCAAAGUCCCUCUCUGCUUCAUCUACCAAUUCUUCCUCGAGGAGAUAGUAACGAUGAUGCCAAGGGUUCUAAGUUUGCAAAGUUUAUAGCUGACCAGGAGGCCAUGCUAAAGAAUGCAACUCAACUUGGCAAGGUUGAACGUCUUCCAAAUAAACUUGUUCAAAGCAAGUUAUGACAGUGUCCCAUUAGUCUCCCAAACAAGUCAGACAUAGCGACAAGGCGUGACAAUGUUGAUGCCUCAACGACCAUGACGACAAAGAUUCACCAAAGACUCGAGCCAUAUGUAUAUCAGAGAAGCAUGAUCCAAAGUUGGGAUUGUACCAUGAUUCUUUGUUGUUACAAAUGUUGGUUGCCUGAAUGUGGAACCAGGGGUUAAGAGGUAAAGGCAUGAGCUUGUGAUGAAUAAUUGAAAUAGAUUUUAGCCAGACUUGUAUAAUAAACAUCUACUGCGCUAUGA
rnacentral:misc_RNA from 1 species